ACGAGGGUCCCCCCGCGGCGGAAGCCCACCUGCAUCACACGCCGCCGCACAGCGGCCCCGGACACGGCAGGCCGCUCUUCUGACAAGGCACGUUCAAAGGGGACGUGUAAAGGACUUGACCAUCAAGGUCAAUCCUCUUAAGGGUCCGGACCUGCGCUAGAAUAACAUUCCACGGUUAUUAGCGCUCCUCCCGACCGAGGCCGGCGCGGUGUUGCUUCGCUGCCCUCCGGCUCUUGGCCGAACUGCCGCUCCUUCCGAGUGACGCGAGCGCCUCCUAGCGGCCUCUCUGUGUUUCGCGGCGCAAUUGACGCGAGCCCGACGCUAACGCUUCGCUUCGCUGCCGUUGACCACCAGUCUCGCUAUCCGAAAAAUGUUCUGUCUCGCGCAGCGGGCGUCGAAGCCGAAACACAACAGCGCAAACACGUUCCUGAACACUUCCCAUCUCUUUUACAAGUUUCGAGGAGCUAUGAAGGCCAGCAGGAUCGAGCUCGGCCCACUGGGUCCAGCGUCCUUGAUCCGGUAUCUGCUGAUGAACAGGAGAGGAGACGGACGACUGCAGACUCAGCGUGUGUCCUGUGGAGAACGACAGUAACCCCAACAAACCCUCCACUUAAUCUGUAUUCUACAUCUCUGAACGACAUGCCCUUCACCAUGAGUCUUGUGACGACCUCAGCUCAUCAGAUGACACCCCUGUGAUUUUGCAACAUGUGCCCGAUGAACAGUUACAUGACAUUUUUACGAUCAGAAAAAAAUAUGAAAGCAUUUUCUUCUACUGCUGCCUAAAAGAGUUAAUUAUACAUUGUUUGGAGGCUAUAUUUCUGUUGCAGCCUCAGUGUGUGUGUGUGUCUUGUGUGUGUGGAGAUGUGCUUGCAGUUUUAUUCUUUAUAUGAGUCCUUUGCUACAAUCUGUCUCCGAAUCCUUCUGAAAUUGUGAUGUGGAUAAAAGUCGAAAGAUUAAACAAGUUUGACUGGAAUGAAUUUGAUUAUUUAGAUUUGAUUUGCUGCCUCGGACCAAGUCUAAUUUUUAUAGCAGGAAACGAAGGAGACAUUUGAAUCCUGCAAAGCCUUUGAGUACCAUACCUUGUAUAGUACUGUGAAUUUGAAUGGUAAAACUGCCGUGAGCUCCCGCUGCAGGGCACAUGGACGCAAAUCAGGAGGGAACUACACAGCGUUCAAUGUAGAAUUCUGGGUUUCUGACGAUGAUUUAUCUGGAGUUAUAGGCAUCAGCAUUCUCCACACACACAGACACACCUGACCUGUUGAAAAUGCAGGGACUGACAGUUACACUUCUAGUCUCCAGUGUCUGUUUA